AAAUGUAAUUCUGAGAAAACAAGCCCAAGGGCUGACAGCAAAACACCACAUGCCUGUGACAUGCCCCAAAUCCUCCAAGGACAAACAGUAAGAGUUACUCUCCACUCCAACAACUCAGUCAGCACUUGGACUCCGGGCAUAAUAUGCACUGAUCAACUCAGUGACCGGUCAUAGCGAAUGGUAGAAAAAUACAGCAGAAACAGAAACAGAAACCGACGGACUGAACAACUCAGGAACCCCCCCCCCGAUCGACCACCAAACAAACACAGAUGAGGAUGACUGAAGACGAUGGAACGAACCUGCCAACCCAGCAGGUGGUGAACAACAGGCUGCUGAUAUGGAAGCAGUCCCACUGCCUGAUGGAAGAGGGUAGUCUGCAUGUUGACUUUAAAGUUGAUGCUUCUGAAGCACAACAUCUGAGACAAAGACAACUGUCAUGUUCCUUAGUGGAACAGUUCCCUUGCCUCGAGGAUUCAGAGGGGCAAAAACUGGAAGUUAGGUUUCCAUUUUGAAACUUACUGUAUUAUCUUUCAUGCAUAAGCUCUGCUAUUUCCACCAAAAUGGUGCCCUUUAAGGUGUAAUACCUUUGGAUUGGUUUGACCAAAUCCUAGCCAUAUUGAACACAAA